rnacentral:lncRNA from 1 species
AAACACUUCCUGUCUCUCUUCAAAAUUUCGGCCAUAACUCCCCCCUCUUGUUCUUCAUCUUUAAAAAAUCUCCGAGGAUUCUAAGGGUUCUCAAGAAGAUCAAAAGGGGUUUGCAAGUGUUAGGGGUCAUCAAAGGAGCUUUUUACACAAGACUUUGGAGUAUUAUCCUUCUUCUUUCUUCAUCUAAAGAACUCAUCCCUAGCAUUGUGCUAGUAGUGCUUUAUGGCAUUUUGUGACAACUCGACCUUAGGUACAUUAUGGAGCUUGCACAAGGAGGAGCUGGUCGUUGUGGGAUACGGAUCAUGAACUUAUUCUGAACUUAUAACUAUUUUGAGAUUACAUACUAUGCUUCCGCUAUUUAAACGAUGUUUGGUUUUGGAACAUCAAUCAUGUCAUGAUGAUUUACAUUGAUUACUUUUAUUAUUAAUUACUAUGUUU